UUCGCAAUGCCCGAAAGGGUGACGAAGCGACGCCGCGUGUGGGAAGAAGGCCUUCGGGUUGUAAACCACUGUCGGGAGUUAAGAAAUGCAAGGAUAUGAAUAGUGUCUUUGCUUGACUAAGGCUCCGGAGGAAGCCACGGCUAACUCUGUGCCAGCAGCCGCGGUAAUACAGAGGCGGCAAGCGUUGUUCGGAAUUAUUGGGCGUGAAGAGCACGUAGGCGGCUAUGUAAGUCGGUUGUGAAAGCCUUCCGCUCAACGGGAGAACAGCAUCCGAUACUACAUGGCUUGAGUGCGGGAGGGGAGAGUGGAACUUCUGGUGGAGCGGUGAAAUGCGUAGAUAUCAGAAGGAACGCCGGCGGCGAAAGCGGCUCUCUGGCCCAUAACUGACGCUGAGUGUGCGAAAGCUAGGGGAGCAAACGGGAUUAGAUACCCCAGUAGUCCUAGCCGUAAACGAUGGGCACUAAGUAGAGGGGUUUU
rnacentral:rRNA from 1 species